rnacentral:rRNA from 1 species
UACGUAGGGUGCAAGCGUUGUCCGGAAUUAUUGGGCGUAAAGAGCUCGUAGGCGGUCUGUCGCGUCGGCUGUGAAAUCCCGAGGCUCAACCUCGGGUCUGCAGUCGAUACGGGCAAACUGGAGUGUUGCAGGGGAGACUGGAAUUCCUGGUGUAGCGGUGAAAUGCGCAGAUAUCAGGAGGAACACCGGUGGCGAAGGCGGGUCUCUGGGCAACAACUGACGCUGAGGAGCGAAAGCGUGGGGAGCGAACGGG